UAUACACAUAUGUAUAUACAUACGUAUAUAUACAUAUAUCAGGGCGGACUAACCCGUCCACGUCUUUCUCUGGACACACGGCGUUGGUGAUAAGUUCAGAGUCGAUGGAGGUCACGGAGUCCAGGGGAAGCUGGACUAUCAGACCAUGGACAGACGGGUUCUCAUUGAUGGACAGGAUGUGCUGCAGGACCUGCAGGACCAAAGGGAGUCACCAGGUGGAGUUGUACAGGUGGAGGUAAACAUAUGGAGGUUAACAGGUGGAGGUUAACAGGUGGAGGUUAACGGGUGGAGGUUAACAGCUGGAGGUUCACGGGUGGAGGUUCACAGGUGGAGGUUAACAGCUGGAGGUUCACGGGUGGAGGUUAACGGCUGGAGGCUAACGGGUGGAGGUUCACAGGUGGAGGUUAACAGGUGGAGGUUCACGGGUGGAGGAGUGUCACUGACCUCUUCCUGCGUUGUGGUUUUCGGUAAUCUCAGAUGUUUCGCUUCGAUUCCAAUCUGCAGAUGAGAAAAGAGUUAAUUGAAAAACAUUCUCUGUAGCGAUGAUGAUGAUGAUGAUGAUGAUGAUGAUGAUGAGCCACCCGUUGAUGGAUCAAUGAAAGGAGCCGUGGUCUGAUUGGUCCUCACCUCAGCUGCAGCUCGUAGCUUGGAGCUGAUGUAGAGGUUUGAAUCGUCUCUGUCUCCCACCUGCAACACAGUCCACGCCUUCAUAUCGCCGUAGCAACACCAGCACUAAAGUACUACACCUCUUUACCGAUUGUACUUGUACUCUACUUUACAGUCUUUACAUGUUCUGCUACAUAUUUUACUGCUUUUGUAGUUGAAGUAGUAAUACUACAAUGUAGAAGUACUCUGUCCCAAGUAAACAUCCUGCUUGGUACAGAAGUAACAUUAAAAUAUACUUAAACUACUACAAGCUAAUAAUAGUAAUAGAUUAAUCUUAUAUAUUAUAUAUAGUUUAUUAAUUAUUCUGAGACGUAGUGCAAAUAGGUCUACCCCAGUACUGCAGUACUAUGUAUUAGUACUAUGCGUUAGCAGUAGGGAUACUGAUUCUCAGAUUAAAACACUGAAAUAAUCUAAAUGUAAUUUCUGAUCUGAAACCAUGACCACUAGGGGAGUUUUGGGACCACGAGUGGACUGGGACCAGCAGGUCAAACAUUGGUGGGUCUCUGAGAGGAACUGGUUCUCAGUGGAUAGAAGCUGACUGAGAGAAAGAGCAGCUGGGUAAACACAGCCGACAAAGACCAGUUCAGGGGGCAGAGUCCAGGUCCCCUGAGAGCAGCUCACUACAUGUGGACGUUACCCUUCAAUAUGUCCCCUUAUCUGCUUCAGAAAGAGCUCAAUUUAAGGCAGAAGAACAACAACAAACAGAGCCUCACCUGUAAGACCACGAGACCAGGUCUGAACCCUGAGAAGGGACCCUUCAUCUCCUCCACCUGGAGCUUCAGACGCUCCCUCACCAACCUGAGAACAUAGAACAGGAUCAGAUCUAAAAUAGACCAGGAUCAUACCCCAAAAAGAGACCAAGAUCAGAUCUUAUUUAGACCAGGAUCAGAUCUAAAAUAGACCAAGAUCAUAUCCCCAAAAAGACCAAGAUCAGAUCUUAUUUAGACCAGGAUCAGAUCUAAAAUAGACCAGGAUCAUAUCCCCAAAGAGACCAAGAUCAGAUCUUAUUUAGACCAGGAUCAUAUCCCCAAAGAGACCAAGAUCAGAUCUUAUUUAGACCAGGAUCAGAUCUAAAAUAGACCAGGAUCAUAUCCCCAAAGAGACCAAGAUCAGAUCUUAUUUAGACCAGGAUCAGAUCUGAAGCAGCUACAAAGAUGGUAGCCGACCCCUCUCACCCCGGACCAAACCUGUUUGUGGCCCUUCCAUCUGGCAGGAGGCUGAGGUCCAUCAGGACUAAGACCUCAUCAACAGAGCCGGUCCCCCACUGACUGACUGACAUCCACUCACUCCCUUCACUCUGCACACGUGUCCCUUACACUCACAACACAGUUGAGUGGAGUAUUAUUAUCUGUUGUAUUUUUAACUUUAUUCCUUUAUUUUUAAAUGGUUUAUUCUGUAUCCCUCUAGCCAAUGGCCUUAUAUUUUGUUCUAUUUUAUUUUAUUCCUCCUGCACUAUGUUGUCUUAUCUGUCUUGUUGUCCAUUGUCUUGCACCAACCGCAAAGUCAAAUUCCUUGUAUGUCUGACGUAUCUUGGUGAUGAAUGUUUCCUGAUUCCUGAUCUCACCUGGAGGUCUUGCUCCCGGAGACAACAGUUGCCAUGGAGCACCGGAUUUGUUGGCAAGCUGAGGACCAGAGAUGGUGCGAGAUGACGGCCAAUGAGAACAUAUCUGGGAGGCAGACAGACAGACAGACAGAGGGACAGGUGGGACAUCAAGUAUGAAAUAUUAAUAGUUUAAAUGACAUGAUGGCUUCAAGCUGAUGUUAAAAUAAAAUACUUCAAAGACAACACGUGUCUCAGUGAAACUUUAAGGCUGCAGCUCCCACCACUAACAACAGGAAACCUUCCCAUCAUGCAUCUGUGCAGCUGCAGACAUGCGUGAAGACGUGUUGAACAAUGUGAGUGUAUAUUUGCGAAAGAGAGAGGGACUCACCUGAGAGAGAGAGGACACGUCUGAGAGAGAGAGGACACGUCUGAGAGAGAGAGGACACGUCCGACAGACAGAGGACACGUCUGAGAGCGAGAGGGACUCACCUGAGAGAGAGAGGACACGUCUGAGAGAGAGAGGACACGUCCGACAGACAGAGGACACGUCUGAGAGAGAGAGGACACGUCCGACAGACAGAGGACACGUCUGAGAGCGAGAGGGACUCACCUGAGAGAGAGAGGACACGUCUGAGAGAGAGAGGACACGUCUGAAAGAGAGAGGA
ensembl:lncRNA